CCUCUUCCUCUCUCAAAAAAGACCAACCCUGGCGACCCUCUCUCUCACUAUCUCUUCUCCAUCACCGCUGCUCCAACUCCGGCGAGCACACCCUCACCCUCUCUCCCUCCAUUCUCUCCAUCUAUUUCUCCCUUCGUUGUUGCUGCUUCUCCUCCGCCAACAGCAACCACCAGUAAACACUGCCCAGCCGCCACACCAUCUUCCUCCUUCGAGCACCACCUCCAGCAGCCUCCACCACCUUCUCUUUCUCUCCCUCACCUCCAUCUUGUCUCUUUCAUCUCCUUCACGCAGUAACCACAAUAAACAAUAUUUUCUUGUGAGCUGUUGUUUAAAAGACAGCCAUCACUUUACAGCUGCCAACCCUCUCCCUCUCACGCACCACCACCACUCCGCUAAACCACUGCAGCAGCAACCCAUACCUCCUUCUUUCUCUCUCUCCCUUCUCUUCUACACACCUCUCGAUCUCCCUCUUUCACUCCGAUAUCCUCCAACCUCUCUCUUCUCCCCAUCAUCAUCAGCAAUUUCGGCAAGAACCAGGCUCUGACAAACGAGGUCAGUGGCAACAGCGGCCAGACACCAACAAGCGGAACUCCGACAUUAUCAAGAAAGCAUCAGCGAAGCAGAACAUCAAACAAGUUUUAUUGAACAUGCACAUAUUAGUGAGGAAAAAUUCAGUAACACACCAAAUCAGUAAAAAAUAAGUCAUGAAAGAGAGAAAGAUAACAAGCAACGAAAAAAAAAACAUAGAAACAAUAAAGCUCAGAUGAGGAGAAAAGAUUUUAGAAUGAACAAAAAUUUCGCUGACUUCUAUUCUGAUGAUGAUGAUGGAAUGCUAUUUCUUUAUGAAAAGAGAAAGAAAGAGGGUAGUGGAUACAUUGUGAUUCCUUGACCACGAGGAGGUGGCAAAAAUAAUGAGAUAUUAUGAUUGAGGUAUAUAGUCUGCGAGACCCCCAUGGGUCCUUCUUGGUAGCACAACUCAGCAGCUGUAUACAAAAGAUACUAGUUAGGGUACCUCAUGUGAGAGUUGAUAUUCUAGCAGAUUGUGUAUUCUCAGAUUAGUGGUGAGGUUCCGAGAUUCGAAUCGUCACUAGUC